ACGAACGCUGGCGGCUGCUUAACACAUGCAAGUCGAACGGAGUGGCGAACGGGUGAGGAACGCGUGAGCAAACUGCCUAUGACAGUGGGAUAGACUCGGGAAACCGGGAUGAAUACCGCAUAGUCAUAGAUGGGCUCGCGUCUGAUUAGCUAGUUGGUGAGAUAACAGCCCACCAAGGCGACGAUCAGUAGCCGGUCUUAGAGGAUGGACGGCCACAUUGGUAAUAAGAGACGGUCCAAACACCUACGGAAGCCAGCAGUGGAGAAUAUUGCACAAUGGGCGCAAGCCUGAUGCAGCCAUGCCGCGUGUAUGAAGAAGGCCUUCGGGUUGUAGAGUACUUUCAGUCGGGAGGCAAUCCCUACAUUGACGUUACCGACAGAAGAAGCACCGGCUAACGCCGUGCCAGCAGCCGCGGUGAUUC
rnacentral:rRNA from 1 species